rnacentral:piRNA from 1 species
UACAACAUCCUUCAAGGCAGCCCUCAG